AACUUUUAACAACGGAUCUCUAGGCUCUCGCAACGAUGAAGAACGCAGCGAAAUGCGAUACGUAAUGUGAAUUGCAGAAUUCCGUGAAUCAUUAAAUCUUUGAACGCACAUUGCGCCUGUUGGUAUUCCGACAGGCAUGUCUGUUUGAGAAUCAGUUCAACUAUCACCGCUGCUGGGGGAACCCAGAGUGGUGGAUUUGGGAUGCGUGGGCCACCCACCAGCCUGGAAACCAUAUGUGCGCUGAUCUGAGCCAGAACCAGCCCAAAGGCAUGACCAAGAACGCAAGUUCAUACCGAUUGCUGACUAGGACUGCGGAGGCGGCAGUGACGAGCCAAAACUCUUACAAAGCACGACGUUCAAGACGAGCUCUUGGCAGCUUUAAGACUCGAUCUCAAAUCAGACAAGACUACCCGCUGAACUUAAGCAUAUCAAUAAGCGGAGGCU
rnacentral:misc_RNA from 1 species